rnacentral:rRNA from 1 species
GACGAACGCUGGCGGCGUGCUUAACACAUGCAAGUCGAACGGAAAGGCCCUGCUUGCAGGGUACUCGAGUGGCGAACGGGUGAGUAACACGUGGGUGAUCUGCCCUGCACUUCGGGAUAAGCUUGGGAAACUGGGUCUAAUACCGGAUAGGAACCAUCUUUAGUGUGGUGGUUGGAAAGUUUUUUCGGUGUAGGAUGAGCUCGCGGCCUAUCAGCUUGUUGGUGGAGUAAUGGCCUACCAAGGCGGCGACGGGUAGCCGGCCUGAGAGGGUGUACGGCCACAUUGGGACUGAGAUACGGCCCAGACUCCUACGGGAGGCAGCAGUGGGGAAUAUUGCACAAUGGGCGCAAGCCUGAUGCAGCGACGCCGCGUGGGGGAUGAAGGCCUUCGGGUUGUAAACUCCUUUCGCUAGGGACGAAGCUUUGUUGUGACGGUACCUAGAUAAGAAGCACCGGCUAACUACGUG